ensembl:lncRNA
AUUUUGGGAGAAUUGCAAUGAACCGUAAAGCAAAGUGGUGAUGAUGUGACGGGAGCCAAAUCACAAUCUGUUCAAUAUCAGUUCAUUGGUAGGAUUGAUAUGAACAAAGCCUGUAAUCUGACCUGGAUGCAUAGGGUUGCCAUUUUCAACCCACCAGCCUCCCAUGUUACCCUCCCAUGUUACCCUACCUCGCAGGCCUCAUCAAUUAUUCAGUAGGCCAGGGAAAGUGCUGGUCUCCAGUCCCCCACUGAGUCUGGGACAGCAGUAGCAAGAUCGUCCAGGACCGGGAUGAUGCUAAGGAAGGUAGGGCCAGGAGUAUGCAGGUGGCCAACCCUGCUGUUUUGGUGCCUGUAUGUCUUCGUGGAGGAGCACACUGUGUAUGGCCACAACAGAACUGUGGAAACCAGGGAGAUGGAGAGGCCAUUUUGUGAACAAGGAUACUAUUGUCCAGUGGGAAGUCCCACACCAGUGCCAUGUCCGAAGGGUACAUUUGGGCCGACGGUUGGUGCUAGUUCCAUGGACAGCUGUCUCAGCUGCCCAACCAACCACUACUGUCCGCGACCUGCUCUGACCUCAGGCAUACCCUGUGGAGCCUGGGCACAGCAGCCCCUACCUGGCCAGGACAGAUGUGUGUGUCUUGGAGAAGGGCAAACCUUCCAGGCCAGUGAUGGGCAGUGCCCCUGUGCCCUAGGGUACCGCCUCAUGGGCCAAGGGGACACUUGUUUGCACAGUGUCUAUGAUAUUUGUAGAGAUGGGAGAGCGAGGACACAACAUGGAACCUGUCUGGACAGGCAGCAGUGGGCACAGCACUGUACCCAACAGGUGUGUCUCUCUCCAGGGGACUACCAGGGCUUUGAUGGAUCUCUGGGCCUGUGUCUGUGCAGGGAACCCCCAGAGAGAGCUGUGUGUGGGGGCUGGUGUAGGAGCAGGCCAAAGCUGGCACUGCAUUUAGUGUGUGCUGCCGUAGACUUGCAGCUGGUAUAUAGCAACUCUGAAGGCCAGGUGAGCGUCUCCGGGAGUGUGUUGCUGGAGACCAUGUUCAAACGCUGGGACUCCCAGGGGACCUUGCAGUGUGACGGUCGCCACAAUGUCUCCCUUCCUGUGUACACAGUGCAAACAAAUGAUGCAGGGUUCCUUGGUCUCCUCAAUGACGUCCCAGCGGAGAUUCGGAAGUUAUUUCCAGAGAAAAGCCUGGGAAUGCACAUCUCUACAGGUGACUCUGGUGUCAGAGAGGAAGGAGGGGCUGGGUCUGAUUGGUCCAGCAGAGCAACCACCUGGGGAGGAACCAUGAACUCCAGCUCUGUGGGGAUUCUGAACCCUACUGCAUGUCUACACCUAUGGGACACACUGCUCUUCACUGUCACCAGACAACAUUACCCUCAGUAUGAUGUAGAGAACCUGUACAAUACCAACCGUGACUUUGACUGGGGUCCUCUGAGACGGCUGGCUGAGGACCUGACACUGGCCAGGACACCACCGACACUCUUCUCAUUGGUCUUCACUCAGCCUGGGGUGUACGCCUUCAAACACAGCGAUCAUCAAUACAAACACAUGUAUGUGAGGGUAAUGCCAGCAGGUGGACAGUGCUAUGAGGCUGGACCGUUCUUCCCCACUGUCCCCCAUCAUGUGACAAGAAUGGGCAUCGCCAAGAGACGACACCUGCUUCUACGCCCUGACUGGUUGGUGACAGGAGGACUGCUGCUUGGCGCAAUGGUCAUCCUCAGCCUGUGUGUGACGCUGCUGAUCUUGUUUCGGGAGUAUGGCUGGCCAGAGAAAGUGGCCACCAGAGCCCAGUACCGUACACUCCAGCUCCAGUACCCCAUGGAAGACUACGCCUCAAAGGGUUCCAGGGUGACGACAUUAAAGAAGUACCACAGAAACCUCCAGGCCAGGAUGACGGAGGCCUCUAUACAGCCCGGUGAAGGACCUGUAUCAGGGGGUGAUGGACAAGCUGAAGGGGCUCCAGCUGCAGCCGGGCUGGUCUGCAGUUGGGAAGACCAGGGAGGGCUAUGAGAGGCUGCGGAGGCAGGUGGAGCAGGAGGUGAUCCGACGUAGGUCCCUGGCCCAGCAGCUCAGGCAUCUCUUGGACAGUCAGCUCGGGGUCCUGAGGACAGAGCUGAUGGCCCAGCAGACGGUGCACAGGACCUUCGGGGCCCAUCUCAGGGAGUGUGUGAGGCUACUGGGCCAAGCAGUGGACAACACUGACCACCCUCUCUGGGAUGAACACCCACAACAGUAAUGUCUGAAUCUGUGUCCCUUGCCUCUUCCUGUCAUGCCUGUGUGUUCUGGAAAGAGCUUUGAACUACAGCUGUUUUUAAUUGGCCAGGGGUAUUAAUGAGAAUAUUACAGUUUUUCUCAAUCCCGUACAAGCAUGUCUUGGACCAAUGUUAUCAUUUUACAAAACAAAGUCCACAAAAACACAGAACUCGUGGCCUUUUGCAAAACUCAAAACAUAUAUACAUUCAUCAAAACUAUAUUAUACUGUCAAAAUUUCUAACUGAAGAAAUUCAUCAAAAGACCACGACUGCCUGUGAAAAGAUUAACGCAACCAUACUUCGAGUCAAAGCAGACAAAAGAGAAAGUUAGUCUGUCUUUUUAAAAAUUCCAGAAGAUCAACACAUUUUCUUUGUAGUCACUAAAUCAUGGUCAAAAUUGGAACAACAACUAUCCAAAGGUGCAUAAUUAUAGGUCAUUACUCUCCUUUUAUGCAUAUUUCACCAAACAAUUUUAUACACAUAAAAUAAAAAUAAAAAACAAGCACAUUUGAGGGCCUCCCGGGUGGCGCAGUGGUCUAAGGCAGUGCACGCUGACCAGGUCGCUAGGUGUAUGGUGUUUCCUCCGGCACAUUGGUGCGGCUGGCUUCCAGGUUGGAUGUGCACUGUGUUAAAAAGCAGUGGGGCAUGGUUGGGUUGUGUUUCAGAGGACGCAUGGCUUUCGACCUUCGUCUCUCCCGAGCCCGUACGGGAGUUGUAGCGAUGAGACAAGACAGUAACUACUAAUAAUUGAAUACCACGAAAUUGGGGAGGAAAAGGGGGUAAGAAAAUAAAUAGAGCUUUAAAAUGGAAGGUCACAAUGUUGGAGAUGAUGACUUAGAAGUAACCCAACUUCAUUCUAUACAUGUCUGCAAUAUUGUAAAAAAGAAAUCUAAAAAAAGUGUCCCUAUUGUCUAGAUAUUUCCCUAUAUUGUACAUGGUAUGACACUGAUAACAUGAUUUAGAAUUUAGUAGUAUAAUGCAGUAGUAUCACUUAUUGACAGAAAGAGUGAACACAUUUAUCUUCCGAUGAAAAUAUCUGUUCCUAUUCAGUCAACAAAACACUUGACAUUUGUAUUUAAAGUUCAGCAAAAGUUGGUCUAAGAUAUGUAAGUCAGGUCCAAAAGGCAAGAAAAUAAUGAGUUUCUGUAAAUGUAUUUUAAGAAUUUGAUCAUUGCUGUUCUUUUAUUGAUACGUUUCAAUACAGACGCAAAAAUUGCUUGUACAUGAUUAAAAAU